rnacentral:rRNA from 1 species
GACGAACGCUGGCGGCGUGCUUAACACAUGCAAGUCGAGCGGAGCGGCGAACGGGUGAGUAACGCGUGAGUAACUGCCCCCCUCCCUGGGAUAACAGUUGGAAACGGCUGCUAAUACCGGAUAGUGUGCGAUGACUCGCGUCCUAUCAGCUUGUUGGUGGGGUAGUGGCAUACCAAGGCGACGACGGGUAGCCGGCCUGAGAGGGGGACCGUACACAGUGGGCUGAGAUACGGCCCAAACGCCUACGGGAGGCAGCAGUGGGGAAUAUUGCACAAUGGUGGAAACCCUGAUGCAGCAACGCGCGUGCGUGAUGACGGCCCUCGGGUUGUAAACCGCUUUCAGCUAUGACGCGGUAGUGGCAGAAGAAGCACCGGCUAACUACGUGCCAGCAGCCGCGGUAAUAC